AAAAACCAAAAAAAAG
rnacentral:sRNA from 1 species